GACGAACGCUGGCGGCGCGCCUAACACAUGCAAGUCGAACGAGAGAAGAAGAGCUUGCUCUUCUGAUCGAGUGGCGAACGGGUGAGUAACGCGUGAGGAACCUGCCUCAAAGAGGGGGACAACAGUUGGAAACGACUGCUAAUACCGCAUAAGCCCACGGCUCGGCAUCGAGCAGAGGGAAAAGGAGCAAUCCGCUUUGAGAUGGCCUCGCGUCCGAUUAGCUAGUUGGUGAGGUAAUGGCCCACCAAGGCGACGAUCGGUAGCCGGACUGAGAGGUUGAACGGCCACAUUGGGACUGAGACACGGCCCAGACUCCUACGGGAGGCAGCAGUGGGGAAUAUUGCACAAUGGGGGAAACCCUGAUGCAGCGACGCCGCGUGGAGGAAGAAGGUCUUCGGAUUGUAAACUCCUGUUGU
rnacentral:rRNA from 1 species